AACCUCCGCAAUGUGAGAAAUCGCGACGGGGGGAUCCCAAGUGCCAUUCUUAACGGGAUGGCUUUUCUUAAGUGUAAAAAGCUUUUGGAAUAAGAGCUGGGCAAGACCGGUGCCAGCCGCCGCGGUAACACCGGCAGCUCUAGUGGUAGCUGUUUUUAUUGGGCCUAAAGCGUUCGUAGCCGGUUUGAUAAGUCACUGGUGAAAUCCUGUAGCUUAACUGUGGGAAUUGCUGGUGAUACUGUUGAACUUGAGGUCGGGAGAGGUUAGCGGUACUCCCAGGGUAGAGGUGAAAUUCUGUAAUCCUGGGAGGACCACCUGUGGCGAAGGCGGCUAACUGGAACGAACCUGACGGUGAGGGACGAAAGCUAGGGGCGCGAACCGGAUUAGAUACCCGGGUAGUCCUAACCGUAAACGAUGCGGACUUGGUGUUGGGGUGGCUUUGAGCUGCUCCAGUGCCGAAGGGAAGCUGUUAAGUCCGCCGCCUGGGAAGUACGGUCGCAAAGAACUAGGAAAAC
rnacentral:rRNA from 1 species